CUUCCGAUCAGCGAGGUACAUCUAUCUUGUUGACCGGAAGAGUUUCCUUCCGGUCAACGAGGAUGUACCUCAUUGAUCGGAAGGAACCCCUUCCGAUCAAAGAGGUCGAUGUACCUCCCUGGUCGGAAG
rnacentral:miRNA from 1 species